CCUACGGGUGGCAGCAGUGGGGAAUAUUGCACAAUGGGCGAAACCCUGAUGCAGCGACGCCGCGUGAGUGAAGAAGGAAUUCGUUAUGUAAAGCUCUAUCAGCAGGGAAGAAAAUGACGGUACCUGGGUAAGAAGCCCCGGCUAACUACGUGCAAGCAGCCGCGGUAAUACGUCGGGGGCCAGCGUUAUCCGGAGUUACUGGGUGUAAAGGGAGCGUAGACGGCAGUGCAAGUCUGGAGGGAAAGGCGGGGGCUCAACCCCCGGACGGCCCUUGAAACUGUACGGCUGGAGUGCAGGAGAGGUAAGUGGAAUUCCUAGUGUAGCGGUGAAAUGCGUAGAUAUUAGGAGGAACACCAGUGGCGAAGGCGGCUUACUGGACUGUAACUGACGUUGAGGCUCGAAAGCGUGGGUAGCAAACAGGAUUAGAUACCCUAGUAGUC
rnacentral:rRNA from 1 species